CCAUUUUGGUGAUGGAUUUCAAAGUUUAAAAAUCGAUUUGUUGAGCCA
rnacentral:sRNA from 1 species